GGGGUUGUGGCUCAGCGGCAGAGCACUUGCCUCGCAUGUGUGAGGCCCUGGGUUCGAUUCUCAGCACCUCA
rnacentral:tRNA from 1 species